rnacentral:rRNA from 1 species
AUUGAACGCUGGCGGCAGGCCUAACACAUGCAAGUCGAACGGUAACAGGAAGCAGCUUGCUGCUUCGCUGACGAGUGGCGGACGGGUGAGUAAUGUCUGGGAAACUGCCUGAUGGAGGGGGAUAACUACUGGAAACGGUAGCUAAUACCGCAUAACGUCGCAAGACCAAAGAGGGGGACCUUCGGGCCUCUUGCCAUCGGAUGUGCCCAGAUGGGAUUAGCUAGUAGGUGGGGUAACGGCUCACCUAGGCGACGAUCCCUAGCUGGUCUGAGAGAAUGACCAGCCACACUGGAACUGAGACACGGUCCAGACUCCUACGGGAGGCAGCAGUGGGAAAUAUUGCACAAUGGGCGCAAGCCUGAUGCAGCCAUGCCGCGUGUAUGAAGAAGGCCUUCGGGUUGUAAAGUACUUUCAGCGGGGAGGAAGGCGAUAAGGUUAAUAACCUUGUCGAUUGACGUUACCCGCAGAAGAAGCACCGGCUAACUCCGUGCCAGCCGCCGCAGUAAGAC